rnacentral:rRNA from 1 species
GUCUGGCAAUUGGAAUGAGAACGAUUUAAAUCCCCUAUCGAGGAUCAAUUGGAGGGCAAGUCUGGUGCCAGCAGCCGCGGUAAUUCCAGCUCCAAUAGCGUAUAUUAAAGUUGUUGCAGUUAAAAAGCUCGUAGUUGGAUUUCUGGUGGGAGUGAUCGGUCCGACACUUUGUGUGGGUACUCGUAUUGUCUCCGGCCAUCCUUGGGCCUAGCCUGUCUGGCAUUAAGUUGUCGAGCAGGGGAUGCCCAUCGUUUACUGUGAAAAAAUUAGAGUGUUCAAAGCAGGCUUAUGCCGUUGAAUAUAUUAGCAUGGAAUAAUAAGAUAGGACCUCGGUACUAUUUUGUUGGUUUGUGUGCCAAGGUAAUGAUUAAUAGGGACAGUUGGGGGUAUUCGUAUUCAGUUGUCAGAGGUGAAAUUCUUGGAUUUACGGAAGACGAACUACUGCGAAAGCAUUUACCAAGGAUGUUUUCAUUAAUCAAGAACGAAAGUUAGGGGAUCGAAGAUGAUUAGAUACCAUCGUAGUCUUAACCAUAAACUAUGCCGUCUAGGGAUCGGCGGUU